CGGAAAAAGUGUGUUGGCGAUGCA
rnacentral:siRNA from 1 species